rnacentral:lncRNA from 12 species
CAGAGUGAGGAAAAGGGCUACAAAAAUUUGGACCCCACACUCCCAGCUCACUCUCUCUUGGAACUGUUGCUUUCUGGUCGGCGCUACAGAACACCAACCACCAGAACAGCCAGACAUAAGACUAGUUUUUUCCUGCAUGCCAAAACUUUCAUAACUAUACACUGUCUAUUAUAACUGACAUUAUAUAUACCAUCUGAAAAUUUUACAUUUGUAAACUACAUAAACAGUACACUUUUACACAAAUGACAUAUCUGUACAUUCAUUAAAACAAUUAUGUUUUUCUCUAUAUUUCUACUUCUGUAUUAUAUUGCAUUAUUUAAAUUUAUGUUUUUUUUAUAUUAGUGUUAUAUUUCAUGUCUACUGUGUAAUUCCUAUGAAUGUCUGCACUAUCAUGUAUGUUUGCACUGUGUCUGUACUUUCUUCUGCACUGGAAGCUCCUGUCACCAAGACAGAUUCCUCGUGUGAGUAAACGUACUUGGCAAUAAAGCUAUUUCUGACUUGUGACUUCUGAGGAACAGGAAACUACAGUUGCAGCAGGCGGAAGUUUGAAGAGUGUGAGAGAGAGACAGACAGAUUCAGAGGGAGGUAGAGAGAGAAAGACGAGGUGCUGUAGCCUGCAGGUCUCUGAUGAUGGAGGAUAGUUGUGGGCGUGUGAUUGAGGGCGUGACCUGUAUGAAACAGGCGGGGUGUAACGGUGAAGCAGAGAGUCAGGUUUCACAGAAAAACCUUGAGCCGAAAGACUCCUCCCCUGACUCCACCCCUGACUCCACCCACCAGAACGGCACAGACACGCCCCCCGGUGCGGACGGAGACUCCGCCCCUUCCACUCCACGGAAGAAACGAGGGCGGCGGAAACUCAAGCACUCGGAGCGACACGUUGACGAGGACGACACCAGCAGCGACACCAGCAGAGGAGAUGUAAGGACUCAAAACACAGUAUAGCUUAUUGUCAAAUAAACAACAUAAUAAAAUUCAAUAAAUCACAUUUCUGAAAUUUAUAGGACUAGGGCUGCAUCAUUUAGGCUAAAAUUUAAUUGGAAGGCUUUUUAAACCAAGAAAUUGUGGUUUAUAUCUCAAUAUGAUUAUAUAAUUAUAAUAAUUUUUUAUCUUACUAAAUAAAAAUACUACUAUUGUAAUAUUUCAAAUAUUUACAGUACAGCAGUAAAAUUACAAUCCAUGAAUUAAUUAAUUAAUUAAUUAAUUAAUUAAUUAAUUAAUUUUUUAAUUUGUUCCAAGUUUGCAAUGCUUGUUUAUAGGGCUGCACAAUUUUGCCAAAUUUGA